AAGCCCCGGCACCUCACUGUGCUCCUUCAAAUUUGCAUUUUGACGUGCUUAUUCACCUCCUGGGCUA
rnacentral:tRNA from 2 species